rnacentral:rRNA from 1 species
AUGAGGUCGCGGCCAUCAGCUUGUUGGUGAGGUAACGGCUCACCAAGGCAACGACGGGGUAGCUGGUCUGACAGGACGAUCAGCCACACUGGGACUGAGACACGGCCCAGACUCCUACGGGAGGCAGCAGUGGGGAAUAUUGCGCAAUGGGCGAAAGCCUGACGCAGCAACGCCGCGUGGGGGAUGAAGGCCUUCGGGUUGUAAACCCCUUUCAGCAGGGACGAAAAUGACGGUACCUGCAGAAGAAGCCCCGGCCAACUACGUGCCAGCAGCCGCGGUAACACGUAGGGGGCAAGCGUUGUCCGGAUUUAUUGGGCGUAAAGAGCUCGUAGGCGGUUGCGUAAGUCGGAUGUGAAAACUCAGGGCUCAACCCGGAGACGCCAUCCGAUUCUGCGCUGACUAGAGUCCGGUAGAGGAGCAUGGAAUUCCUGGUGUAGCGGUGAAAUGCGCAGAUAUCAGGAGGAACCCCAGUGGCGAAGGCGGUGCUCUGGGCCGGCACUGACGCUGAGGAGCGAAAGCGUGGGUAGCAAACAGGAUUAGAUACCCUGGUAGUC